AGCUGUGAAACUAUCAUGAACAGAAAGGAGUAAAAUAUGAGGACAUAAUCUAACGAGUCAAAAUAGGGUUGAUGUUUUGCAAUGGCAAGUAGAUCAAUUUUGCUAUUCUUGCCUGUCUGUAACAGAGUCAAAAUAGGGUUGAUGUUUUGCAAUGGCAAGUAGAUCAAUGUUGCUAUUCUUGCCUGUCUCCGCCACAUGUACUCAUCAGAAGCCUGUCUCCAACCUGACUUUAAACUAAGAACAUAUCCUAAACAAACAUUCCGCAAGGUUUUCCUCUAUAACAGUCUCUUUAGCUCCAAUAAUGCAUUAUUUCAGACCUACACCUACGGGUUGAUAUAAAUAUAGGAUAAAUAGCGAGGCACUCUUCUAACAUACUCUGUGUACGGACAGAAAGUUGCACCAAUCUAUUACUACGUUGCAACUGAUUUGUUU
rnacentral:lncRNA from 1 species